GGAAUUUAAUUGGCGGCUAUCAGAGAGUUAGAUUGGGGUUGAAGGCACACAGUUGGAAACAUCCGACAUCGUCCAACCGGA